rnacentral:rRNA from 1 species
GACAGAGGGUGCUAGCGUUGUUCGGAAUUACUGGGCGUAAAGGGCGCGUAGGCGGCCACCGCAAGUCGACUGUGAAAUCUCCGGGCUUAACCCGGAAAGGUCAGCCGAUACUGCGGGGCUAGAGUGCAGAAGGGGCAACUGGAAUUCUCGGUGUAGCGGUGAAAUGCGUAGAUAUCGAGAGGAACACCUGCGGCGAAGGCGGGUUGCUGGGCUGACACUGACGCUGAGGCGCGAAAGCUAGGGGAGCGAACGGG